rnacentral:rRNA from 1 species
UGGGGAAUUUUGGACAAUGGGCGAAAGCCUGAUCCAGCAAUGCCGCGUGUGUGAAGAAGGCCUUCGGGUGCUGAUAAGCACUUUUUGUCCGGAAAGAAAUCCUUGGCUCUAAUACAGUCGGGGGAUGACGGUACCGGAAGAAUAAGCACCGGCUAACUACGUGCCAGCAGCCGCGGUAAUACGUAGGGUGCAAGCGUUAAUCGGAAUUACUGGGCGUAAAGCGUGCGCAGGCGGUUUGCUAAGACCGAUGUGAAAUCCCCGGGCUCAACCUGGGAACUGCAUUGGUGACUGGCAGGCUAGAGUAUGGCAGAGGGGGGUAGAAUUCCACGUGUAGCAGUGAAAUGCGUAGAGAUGUGGAGGAAUACCGAUGGCGAAGGCAGCCCCCUGGGCCAAUACUGACGCUCAUGCACGAAAGCGUGGGGAGCAAACAGGAUUAGAUACCCUGGUAGUCCACGCCCUAAAACGAUGUCACUUAGUUGUUGGGGGAUUCAUUUCCUUAGUAACGUAGCUAACGCGUGAAGUUGACCGCCUGGGGAGUACGGUCGCAAGAUUAAAACUU